GUUCCCUGACCCCUUUGUGGGUGGGAACUGGAGUGCAUGGGUGCUGGAACAAGCCAACUGUGUUGGCGCCAGCAGGGGCAAAUUCCACUCCCUUGAACCCGCUGCGCUCCACCCCUCGUGGGAGGGGGAGCACAGGUGAGCAGGUACAGGAGGAGCUGGGGAAGCACUCUUGGGCACAUGCAGGAGUGAAUUCCGUACCGGCCCCACAGCAGCAUCAGCGGGGCGGGGGUGCCCACGACCCCCGAAGCCCCAGAGGAACUGUCACAGUACUCUUUUAGCUCUGCCCUCUGUGGAUGGCUUAAGUGUUAACAGCUCAGUGGACCCUAUGUCUUUUAGCAUAAGGCGGCUACCUUCUGCCAGCGAGGGCAAAGGGUCAGUGUGGCAGCCUUUUGCCUCCACACUCACUGCACCUGAGCUGUUGUCAAGCAUCCAGGAGAAAUGAAGUAGCACAAACGAAUUGGAGGAUGGUAAAUGUGGGGGAUUUUAUUGCUGUUGGACGUGGCUCUCAGAGGGAAGAGGAGCUGAAAAGCAGACAGAGAAGGAAGGUAAUCUUCCCUCAAAGUCCAGCUGUCUCCUGGGAUUCUUCUUGAAAUUUACACCGUCGAGCUGUCCCUCUGAAAGACACGGACACUUCGGAAAGCGUUCUGCGGACAGUUAUCAAGAUGAUGAAUUGCAGUGAACACCAAGACACAAAAGGCUUAAUUUGCUCUUCUUUGUCAAGAUUUCUAAUGCUGAGCUGAGCUAGUUGAUUUGUAUUCCUUUCCUUCUAAUGCAUAUAUUUAUGAGUACUUAAAGUAAAGAAGCAGGCGAUCAGAGAAGGGCUGGAGAGGAAGAGGCAAUAUGAUGAUGGAAGCAGAGAUUGGAGUUUUGUGCUUUGAAGAUAGAGAAAGUGUCCUUAGCCAAAGGAUACAGGCAGCCACUACCAGCUGGAAAGCCAAGGAGAUGGAGUCUGCCCUAGAGUCUCCUGAAGAAACCAGCCCUGCUGACACCUCGGCUUUGACACAGUGGAACAGAUUUCACACUUCUGGCCUCCAGAACAGAAACAGAAUAAAUUUAUGCUGUUUUAAGAACUAUGUUUGCGGUAAUUUGUUACAACUGCAACAGGAAACAAACACAUAAGUAAAAAACACAUUGUGAUUAAGGAGCUCUGUGAGAUUUCCUGAGUCCCAGAGAAAUGUUCCUGUAACAAAACUCUCAGAGUUCAGUGAUUGGGAGCUUGAGUUCACAGACUUAGGAAACAAAUAUCUUCUUUUAGAGAAAUUUUUCAAACAGAACCCGAAGUGAACUCUAGUAUAAUCUUCUAAUGAAUGUUACAGCGUGUUGUUUGUGCUAUUAAAUUCACAUGCAUAUUCUCUCUCUUACCUCUCGCAUCUUUUCUUCCAAUUCUCUCUCUGUCUCUCUCUCUCUUUCUCUUUCUCUCUCUCUCUCUCCCUCUCUCUCUGUCUCUCUCUCUCUCACACACAGAAUCAUAAACUACUUUUCUUCUGAAUCCUCUCUGUAAACGGGCUAAGCAUUUGACUUAAGCACUGUGAUGCCUUCUUUAGAGAGAUUAAGUAGGAUGAUGCAAAUGCUUUGUCAGAUGCUCCCACCAACUGAUUUAUCUUGGGAAAGAUAAAAAUUUAACCUGAACAGAAAUAGAAAUAUUGUCAAUGAGGGUGAAGGUCAAAUAUUUAUGUCUACUUGAAAAAAAUCAAUGUCAGAAGUAACAGUAGUUCUUUUCUUGUACUCUAGCCUGCGUUUCCUUAAAUAUUGUGGCCCCUAGAUAUAUUGAUAGUUGAGAAAAUGCUCUUUUCUUGCUCUGCUUCCCUCAGGAAAAGUUUUUUAAACCCACUUUCUUAGCAGCUAAUCGAUCAUAUCUUGUGUGAAUAAUCAAAAGCCUUGGAAGUUAUGUGUACAUGUCAUGGCUUUCAUGAAGCAAUAGCAGAUGUGUGAGAUGUCUGCAAAACCUGCAGAUGGCAGUUGCGUGAUCUACCUUCAUUGGCAUCAUUCAUAAUAUAAACACGAUUAUAAAGUACUCUGUUUACAUUAUUCUUGAAUACAAUAUUCCCAACAAAAAUAUCUGCAAAAGUCAACACAUUAAACCCAAUGCAGUGCAUUUUUAUUACAAGAAGGCAUUCUUUAAGGAUGACUAAUGUCUCCGAGGAAUAAAAUGGAGAUUAGGCAAGAGUGUGAUUAAAAUGAAGACCCGAGAAAGGUUACAUUCUCUAUGCAUUCAUUCUCCGCAGGGUGCACAACUGCCUAAGAGUAAAACAAAUAAUUUCUCCAGCAGAAAGACUUCCAUUUGAAAUGAAAUGCUUAAAAUAACAAAUUGUGUUUGUUUUUACCAUCACAUUUCCUUGACAUAUAGAAAAGUCAUAUUUCCUCAUCAUAUUUCUUUUGGUAAUAAGCUUCUUUUGACAAAGAUUGUACUUUGACACUAUGAGAGAUGUUUGAAUAGACAUAAUAAACACAGAAACAUACUAAAACUAAAAUCUAUUGAAAAAAUUUUAAAAGGAUUGAAAAAUGAAUGUGUUUUGACAUAAGAAUUGAUUCUGCAAAUUAAGUAGAUCUUUAAAUAUUAGAUUUAUUAAUACUAUUAUUGCUUUUUUGUUGUUGAACAUUGUAGAUUGUUAUAAUGAUUCUCAAAUGUAUUGGGAUUGCUAUUUUACAAUUCUUAUUGUUAGUACUGAACCACAUGCUGUAUCUUUCAUUUGUCAAAUUUUAAAAGUUUCUUAAUCAUCUAAACAUCUUUUUCCUCACCAAAACCUAUAUUUCCUCCUAUAUGCACUGUCAGCAUUAUUAUUUCAUUUAUGUGAAUAGAAAUGCUAUAAUUAAAAGUAUAUGUUUAGUUUAGUUUCAUUGUUUUUCUGUUUCUUAGCAAAGACUUGGAACCAACCGAAACAUCCAUCAAUGAUAGACUGAAUAAAGAAAAUGUGGCACAUAUACACCACGGAAUACUUUGCAGCCAAAAAAAAGGACGAGUUUAUGUCCUUUGCAGGGACAUUAAUGAAGUUGGAAACCAUCAUUCUCAUCAAACUAACAGAAGAACAGAAAACUAAACACCGCAUGUUCUCAUUCAUAAGUGGAAGUUCAACCAUGAGAACACACGGACACAAGGAGGGGAAUAUCACACACCGGGGCCUAUCGGGGGGUGGCAGGCUUGGGGAGGGAGAGCAUUAGGGGAAAUACCUAAUAUAGAUGACGGGUUGAUGGGAGCAGCAAACCACCAUGGCACGUGUAUACCUAUGUAACAAACCUGUAUGUUCUGCACAUGUAUUCCAAAACUUUAAAUGUAAUAAAACAAUUUAAAAAUGUGUUCAAU
rnacentral:lncRNA from 1 species